AGUGAACGCUGGCGGUAGGCCUAACACAUGCAAGUCGAACGGCAGCACAGUAAGAGCUCGCUCUUACUGUUGGCGAGUGGCGGACGGGUGAGGAAUACAUCGGAAUCUACUUUUUCUUGGGGGAUAUCGUAGGGAAACUUACGCUAAUACCGCAUACUACCUACGGCUUAAAGCAGAGGAUCUUCGGACCUUGCGCGUUUCUAUUAGCCGAUGUCGGAUUAGCUAGUUGGCCGGGUAAGGGCCCACCAAGGCGACGAUCCGUAGCUGGUCUGAGAGGAUGAUCAGCCACACUGGAACUGAGACACGGUCCAGACUCCUACGGGAGGCAGCAGUGGGGAAUAUUCGACAAUGGGCGCAAGCCUGAUGCAGCAAUACCGCGUGAGUGAAGAAGGCCUUCGGGUUGUAAAGCCCUUUUGUUGGGAAAGAAAAGCAGCAGGUUAAUACCCCGCUGUUCUGACGGUACCCAAAGAAUAAGCACCGGCUAACUUCGUG
rnacentral:rRNA from 1 species